CUACGGGUGGUUGCAGUGGGGAAUAUUGGACAAUGGGGGAAACCCUGAUCCAGCAAUGCCGCGUGUGUGAAGAAGGCCUGCGGGUUGUAAAGCACUUUCGGUUGGGAGGACUGCCUCUAGCACUAAUAUUGUUGGAAGUUGACGUUACCUUCAGAAGAAGCACCGGCUAACUCCGUGCCAGCAGCCGCGGUAAUACGGGAGGGUGCAAGCGUUAAUCGGAAUUACUGGGCGUAAAGCGCGCGUAGGCGGCUAGAUCAGUCGGGUGUGAAAGCCCCGGGCUUAACCUGGGAACUGCAUCCGAUACUGUCUAGCUUGAGUACAGGAGAGGAGAGUGGAAUUCCACAUGUAGCGGUGAAAUGCGUAGAUAUGUGGAGGAACACCAAUGGCGAAGGCAGCUCUCUGGCCUGAUACUGACGCUGAGGUGCGAAAGCGUGGGGAGCAAACAGGAUUAGAUACCCCUGUAGUC
rnacentral:rRNA from 1 species